GGGUGACUAGUGGCAGAGUGAGGGAGGGAAGGGGUGACUAGUGACAGAGUGAGGGGAUGACUGGUGACAGAGUGAGGGGGGGUGACUGUCACUAGUCACCCCAUCCCUCUCUCUGUCACUAGUUACUCCCUCCCUAACUGUGUCACUGUGUCACCCACUCCCUCACUCUGUCACUAGUCACCCCCUUACUCUGUCACUGUGUUACCCCCUCCCUCUGUCACUAGUCACCCC